UGUCAGAGGAAGGGGAUUGUGAUGAGAGGAAAGGCCAGGGGACUGGGACACUUUUUCCUUUGUGAUUAUAAAAUUGAACAGACAAGGUUGCUUCAAGCUAGGAAGUUGCUGCUGGAAGUAUUUAGCUUUGCUGGGGCUGGGGGGCUUGACACCCACAGCCUUAUACUCCUUCCUGAGUUUCAUCCCAUCUCACAGGUUCUCCCCAACUUCAUGGCCUUUGCCUAUCUAGGAGCCUCAGACACAUAGGCUAGACAAAGGCCUCAUCCACAUGAUGCGCAGGUAUGGGUCUAGCUCCUGCAUGAGCUCAACAUCUGGGCCUGUCUGAGCUGCACAGCUGAAGAAAGAGACAAGAUGUCUAUAGCCUCACCCACUUGGUAAGAGUUGGACUUUACAAUGGAUGCCCUUUCUUGCACUCCAGAGUAGUUAGAGGUAAAAAACAAGCAAUAUCUGCUGUGGGCUCUUGGCUUUUCUGUGGGUCCCUCCAUACACUACCAGGAACUGCUUCCUUUUUCCUUCCUGCAGAGGAAUCAGGCAUGGCUGAGAAAGACAUUCGAGUUGUGCAGGUGGUGAUGAUUUGUGCUUUAGAGGAUGGAGGAGGCCUGCAGGGAAGGCGGAGCUGCGGGGAACACUCUCUAGGAGGGAGAGUAACAUGCCUACAAACACCUGGGAAGGUGAGGGCUGCCUCUCCUGCUUGGGCUGGACCUGGGACCAGCUCUCAGAGAUGGGAUUGGAGGGGCAGAAGAAAUGCCCCCAGAAAGAGGGAGGAAGCAGCAUGUUGGCAUCCUUCUCUCUCAGCUCUGGAAUGGGUUCUUCCUAAGCACAAAUGUUGUGUUCAGGGACACUCAGCCCACACUCAGCUGGUGACCCUUUAAUGUCCAAGCAUCCACAGGCAGGCACUGGCUGCCAUGGCUGUUUCCCCAUUGCCUCCUCAUGACUUCUGCCUCCUCCUCAGGAACCAGCUAGAUGUCAGGGCCGGGAGAGGUGUUAGACCCUCUAGGAAAAGAAAGCAGAGCCAGGCUGGCACGUUCUCUCUGAGACGACAAGAGUCCCCAUCCCCUUGUGAUGUCAUCAUCCUAUCCCGUUGUUCUGAAAUGAUGAAUUCCACAAAGGAAUUCCUAUCCAUGGCCCCUGCUUGGAACUAGACAGGAACAUUCCUCCAGCCUCCAUCAUCCUCCCCUUCCCCUACUCUGAGGAAUCUUCUCACCUUUCAUUAGACUCUAAGUUCCUUGGAGAGUCAGUACUCACGGCAUCCCAUCCAGGAUACCUGUUACAUUUACUUGUCAUAUCUCCUCAAGCUUCUCUUGGCUAUGACAGUUUUUUAGACUUUCCUUGAUUUUGAUGACCUUGACAGUUUUGAGGAGUUCUGGGCCCGAUGUUGCAGAAUGCCUCCUUAUUGAAAUUUGUCUGAUGUUUUCCUCAUGAUUAGAUUGGGGUUGUGAGUUUUGGGGGGAAGGUAAUAGAGGAAAAGUGUCAUCUUCAUCACAUCAUAUUAAAGGUACAUAUUAGUGACAUGA
rnacentral:lncRNA from 1 species